AUUGAACGCUUGCGGCGUGCUUAACACAUGCAAGUCGAACGAGUGGCGAACGGGUGAGUAAUGUAUGUGGCCUGCCCGAUUGAGGGGGACAACUACUGGACACGGUUGCUAAUACCGCCUACUGUCGGAUAACCCAUAUGGGAUUAGCUAGUAGGUAAGGUAAUGGCUUACCUAGGAGACGAUCCCUAGCUGGUCUGAGAGGAUGAUCAGCCACACUGGGACUGAGACACGGCCCAGACUCCUACGGAGGCAGCAGUGGGGAAUAGUGCACAAUGGGCGCAAGCCUGAUGCAGCCAUGCCGCGUGUAUGAAGAAGGCCUUAGGGUUGUAAAGUACUUUCAGUCGGGAGGCGUUACCGACAGAAGAAGCACCGGCUAACUCCGUGCCAGCAGCCGCGGUAAUAC
rnacentral:rRNA from 1 species